rnacentral:lncRNA from 1 species
CCGGUAAAUGAAUACAAUUUCAAUUUCCUGAGAUAAACUAGAAAGCAUUCAACACAUUCAACAUUCCACACAUUCAAUCCAACAUCAUUCCUAAAUUUGCCUUCCCGAACCUAAACUUUUGCUUAUUCAUUUGACAUAUCAUGAUUCUAUUGCGUUCCAACAAUAUCCAUGCUCAUUCUGAAUUAAACAAACAAAAAUAAACCAAAAUUAAUCUAAAUUCUCCCUUUUUAUCAAUUUCGUAAUUCCGCCCUUAUUUAUUAUCAAUCUCACAACUAACCCAAUUCUCAAGUAUUCAAUUUCGAGAUAAAAAUCAAGACAAUGAUAAUCAACAUGGCUCAAACAAACUCACAAACACACCAUACCACCAACAUUUAAACACAUUCGAGAUAAUAAUAAGAAUAGUAGAGUUGAGGGAUGGACCUUAAUACCGCUUUUGAUGAAUGUUAUUUGACGAAAUAAAGAGAACCCGCCUUCGAUAACUUCGACUUAAGCCUCAGCGACGAAUCUAUCCAGCUCGGUAUUGAGAAAUUGAAACCCAAAACUAAACCCAAAACCAGUAACGAAUACCAAAGAACUUGAGAUGAAAAUCGCAACAGCACAAACCAGUCCCGUUCACGAACUAAUCUUGAAAUCAAAGGAGAUGAUGAGAUGGGGAGAUUUAAGAUGGAAUUGAUCGAACGAUGAACUGAAAAUCAAUCAAAACUGAGCUCCAGUGAGUUGCGAAGGGC